AUUCAUAGCCUGGUCUUACAUUUAAGAUCAUCUUAAGAACUUAUUCAACUAAUUAAAUAGCUACAAUUGAGCUAUUGAUUGGUGGAAUGAGAGCUUAAGAUGAUCUUAAAUGUAAGACCGGACCAUGAAUACCGACCAUAUAACAGCUGAUUUCGGCAAGAGUGUAGAAAGAGAAAUGAUUAACCAGUGUUCGGAAAGCACUUACAAUGUGCAAGUUUUUGAUGCACCAAAUUGUAAUGUUUGUCAAAUUUACAGAAUCACAGUAGAGAAUGCAGAAUCUAACUUAGGCCCUGAAGCUACAGCAGAAUCAAAGGCCGAGGCGGAAAGAUUAACAAUCAUGGGCAAUAUAUUUAUGAAACAGGAAAAGCAUCAUGAAGCACUUGCCAACUAGCAAUCCAAUUGAAUGAUCACGUUGCAGCAUAUAGCCAUAGAGCAAUUGUUCACAAAAAGCGUGGUAAUGUCUUUAAAGCCAUUAAAGACUAUCACACGUUACUCUCUACCAAUCCCUCGUAUGACAUAUAUAUUCAUUUAGGCCAUAUAUUUAUGAAACAGGAAAAGUAUCAUGAAGCACUUACCUACUAUACAAAAGCAAUCCAGUUGGAUAAUCACAAUAUAAAAUAUUAUAUCAAUAGAGCAAUUGUUCACAAAAAGCUUGGUAAUUAUGCCCUAGGCAUUACAGAUUGUCAAACAGCACUCUCCAUCAAUCCCUCAAGUAACGAAGCAUAUAAUAUGUUAGGCAAUAUAUUUUUUGAUUAGAAAGAGUAUCACGAAGCACUUGCCAACUAUACAAAAGCAAUCCAGUUGGAUAAUCACAAUAUAGAAUAUUAUCUGAAUAGAGUAAUUGUUCACGAAAAGCUUGGUAAUCGUGACCUAGGCAUUAAAGACUAUCAAACAGCACUCUCCAUCAAUCCCUCGUGUAGGGAUACACAUAAUUAUUUAAAGUAUACACAUGUACUCAUUGAUCAGGAAAAAUAUCACGAAGCGCUUGCCAGUUAUACAAAACUAAUCCAGUUGAAUGAUGUGGUAGCUUAUCACUAAAGGAGUUCGUCAUUCCCAUUAUAGUAUUUUCAUCCGAGCCAUUAAAGACUCUCUCACGGCACUCUCCAUCGAUCCCUCGAAUAGCGAGGCAUAUACUCGGUUAGGCUUAGCAUUUAGUAAUUUGAGCAUAAAAUUAAGGAAAGGUAUGAAAAGGCUUAGGAACCAGAUAAUAAGAAGCAAUGGAACCAGAUAAUAAGAAGCAAUGGAACCAGAUAAUAAGAGUUACUGAAAUAAUUUACAAUUAGCGGAAAAGAAAUUGAUUCAACUAAAUGUUAAUUAGAAUCUGCCUAAUUUUUCUGGUAUGGAUCCGAGUGCUCUUUUAAUAGAGAAUUGUCUAUUGAAUAUUUUAUAAACAUGCGAAUAUUAUAUAAAUUGUCCAUUAAAAUUUUUAACG